AACGAACGCUGGCGGCAUGCCUAACACAUGCAAGUCGAACGAAGGCUUCGGCCUUAGUGGCGCACGGGUGAGUAACACGUGGGAACCUGCCUUUCGGUUCGGAAUAACGUUUGGAAACGAACGCUAACACCGGAUACGCCCUAUGGGGGAAAGUUUACGCCGAGAGAGGGGCCCGCGUCGGAUUAGGUAGUUGGUGAGGUAAUGGCUCACCAAGCCUACGAUCCGUAGCUGGUCUGAGAGGAUGAUCAGCCACACUGGGACUGAGACACGGCCCAGACUCCUACGGAAGGCAGCAGUGGGGAAUAUUGGACAAUGGGCGCAAGCCUGAUCCAGCAAUGCCGCGUGAGUGAUGAAGGCCUUAGGGUUGUAAAGCUCUUUCGCACGCGGCGAUGAUGACGGUAGCGUGAGAAGAAGCCCCGGCUAACUUCGUGCCAGCCGCCGCCGUAAAAC
rnacentral:rRNA from 1 species